UUUCCUGGGUCAGGUAGGCAGUGUGCUGUAAGCUGGCUGCUUGGGUUCAAUUGAGCAGUCAGGACUAGCCUGCCACUUGCUCCUGGACUG
rnacentral:pre_miRNA from 1 species